GUUGCUAAUUACCCUCUCUUU
rnacentral:misc_RNA from 1 species